rnacentral:piRNA from 1 species
UCACAGAGUUUCAAUGAUCGAUGCAAAGAC